UACAGAGGUCCCAAGCGUUGUUCGGAUUCACUGGGCGUAAAGGGUGCGUAGGUGGUGAGGUAAGUCGGAUGUGAAAUCUCCGAGCUCAACUCGGAAAUGGCAUUGGAAACUACCUUGCUCGAGGGUUGGAGGGGGGACUGGAAUGCUUGGUGUAGCAGUGAAAUGCGUAGAUAUCAAGCGGAACACCAGCGGCGAAGGCGAGUCCCUGGACAACUCCUGACACUGAGGCACGAAAGCUAGGGGAGCAAACAGG
rnacentral:rRNA from 1 species